rnacentral:rRNA from 1 species
UACGGAGGGUGCAAGCGUUAAUCGGAAUUACUGGGCGUAAAGCGUGCGCAGGCGGUUUGUUAAGUCCGCUGUGAAAUCCCCGAGCUCAACUUGGGAAUUGCGGUGGAUACUGGCAAGCUGGAGUAUGGUAGAGGAAGGUGGAAUUCCCGGUGUAGCAGUGAAAUGCGUAGAGAUCGGGAGGAACACCAGUGGCGAAGGCGGCCUUCUGGACCAAUACUGACGCUCAUGCACGAAAGCGUGGGGAGCAAACAGG